GUUUUACUGCCCUAUCUAUUUGAUCUCUGGUAAGGACUUCAUGACUGUGUGGUACAUUAUAGAAGAAGCUCCUGGAAGAGGAGACAUGUGGUGAGAGAAGAAGCCAGAGAGGAGUAAGAGUCUUGCUUAGGAUCCCUGAGCAGCUGCUCUGGACCAUGGCCCAGCCAGGGUCUGGUCACAUCCUCAGAGAGAGAAGCACCAUUUCUGCGAUGGACUCAAGUCUGGAUUAGUUUUUGCUGUCUCAGAAGAGCAGUAAAAGAGCACCUGGAGCAAGGAGAGUCCUGUCCAGGUGUCCAGGAAAAGAAAUGAUGCUUUUCAGGUUCCGUGGUGAACCAUCUGGACACAG
rnacentral:lncRNA from 1 species